CAGAAAGUGAGAAAUAAGACAAUUUAAUGAUGGCUUCCUUGACUUACAGACAACGGUAGACAAACAUGUCUGCCCAUGCACGCUACAAGGAAAUUCAGGGAUGCGUGGUGCCCCAAGGCUGUGGCAUUCAGAGCCACCGCCCGGCCUUGUGCCGCGUGGUCCCACCACCCGUCUGGCUCAGUGACAACACACACAGGGAGGGCCGGGCCGAGAGGAGGCAGGGUGCACGGCCACCACCAUGCGUCAGGGGAGGAGAGGAGGGAGGAGGAAGAGGGGAUGGGUGCUCGGGGGCUGACGUCUCGGGGUGGCGAGGAAGGCAGCCACCACAACCACAGCAGAAAGCAGCACAGGUGGCAGGGGCCAGGCUUUCCUCCCACACACCGAGGUCCUGACGACCCAGCUCCACCUUCCAGAGGCUGGAACCUUCCCGGGAUUUGGAGCCGGAGAGGUGGCAAGGGUGGAGCAAUGAGAGAGAGGCUCCUUCCAACCCUGAGGCCGCCUGAGACGGACGCCUCCAUCCCCUCUUGGCCUGCCUUCCCCCCACAAACCCCCAAGACCUGAGCAGGCGAACGAGAGAUCGGGGACCCCAUCACGCUUCCGGAAUUAACUCAGCUGAGAACAACGUUUCUAAAGAGGGGCAGAAGGAGGAAAAAACGCCACAGGCUUUUAAAGGGAAGACCCAGGAAGGGUGGCGUCGAAGGAGGGGAGAGUGGCCCCUGGCUCUAUCCAGCCGUGGCCGCUGGUCCUUGGCCCGACUGUGCCGGGCCCUCUAGCUGAGCAUCUUGUGCCGAUCGAAGACCGUCUUCCGUUGCUCCUGCACCUGCAGCUUCCACCGCUGCUGAGCGCCUUCCACACGUUCCAGGACCGUGUUGGCGCGGGGUCCCCCGAAGGAGGCCGCGGCAGCCGCCAUAGAGCGAGCAUCCUGCAGGAGGACAGGAAAGGGAAGAUUUGGCACCGUGAGCCAGAGGGGUCUGGAAAGCUGGCACGCAACACAUGCCCCGAGAGCAACCCCAAAGUCUGAACUCCCUCCACCCCCAACUGGGAGGCUGGGGCUCCCCAGGGCCGCGGGCUCCUGGAGGGCCUGGCCUCCACCCACAGGGCCCAGCACAGCACCCGGCCAGCUGGAGGCUAGUGCUUGUAGAAUCUGGAGGACCAGGCCCGGGAAGGGGGCGCCUGGAAGACCAUGAUCUGGGGCCCCAGGUACGAAACAGCCAGCUCGUCAGGUCCACAGGUGCACCCCCAGGCCUGUUUCUAACCCUCGACGGGAACACUGAGUGUUGGCCUCAGGACCUCACUCAGCGCUGGGGACUCAAGACACUUGCUGUUUCAGGAAAUGCAUCGAUUGCCCCAAGGCUGGUCCUGGGCUGCAGAACUCCCCUGCCCGGCCGCCACAGCUCAGGGCUGCAGGAAGGCCCAGGGCUAGGACCUGGCUGCGCAGAGAGGAGCGCACAUCCACUCUGGGCAGGAGAGGGCCCUCUGAGGGGCCUGCACAGGGGGGCACCCACAGGAUCUGCUCUCAUGGGGCUGGGAUACCCAGUUCAUUCUCCCGGGAAACAGGGGAUGACGUCCCUUGGGGAGUCUGGCAGGGAGGGAAAUUCGGAGCUGGACCCCAGCACCCCAUCCCACAGCCAGCCCUGGCCCACCCUUUGGGCCAGUUGGGUGGGCUCGCUCCUUCUCCACCCACCCCACCGCCCCCGCCCCUUUGCUGUCAGAACGGUUUCUGUCGUCGUCAUUGAAGGCAGCAUCCUCCCCUAAUUACCACUUCUCUGCCCCUGACGCCGGAGCCCGUGCGUUUCCUGCAGGACCCGAGCCUGAUCUUUGGGGGGGACUGGAGCCGAGGGCCAGGCCCACACCCCCCUGGGGAUUUCCUCCCUGGCUCUCCCUGCCUCUCAUCUCCUGCCACACGUCUCUUAAGGGAUUAGCACACCUCUCUGAGCCUGGGGCCGCCCAGUAAAUGCAACUGCGCUUCUAACGCCCUGAGCUGGCACGGCUUCUGUCACCACGCAGCUGCCAGGCGGGGAGCAGGAGGGGGGCCGGGCGAGGGUGGGGGGCAGAGAGGUGGCUGGAGGGGAGGCCGGCAGGCGGUCCACUGUCGCCGCAGAGUCUCACAAGCACUGCCCAUGGCAAGUUAGAGACGGACACAGCCCCAGGAGCCCCAUGUCCAGGACUCGAGGCCCCGCCCUCUGCCAGGCCAGGUGAGGGUCACAACACCUCGGAGGCAGGUGCUAGCAGCCUUGGCAGGGGCAUGCUGCGUGUGGGGUCCGGACCCCAGGGCUCCACGCCUGGGCUUUGAGGGGCCACCCUCUCCUCCGGCCUCAGGCCCCCCGGCCCAGCUCAACUUAACCAUGCCAGGCUGCUCAGGCUCUUGACCACACCAUCAGCAGGAAUUCCGUCACCUGACGCUCCGACAUCAUUGCAUCACACACACACACACACACACGCACAGUUACAAUCUCACAGACUGCCCAGUACGGUGCAUUCUGACGUUGCCUGCUCUGCUCCAUUUAGUUUUUUAAAAUGCUGGCCGUGACUCCUCAACUGACUUCAUGACCUCACGGGUCGUGACCUCCAGUUUGGAAAACCCUGGCUCCCAAUCAGGAGACGGGCCGGCAGGAGACACGCGAUCACACGCGCCCGGCACUUGGCAGGCUGGUGGCCACAGACAGGCGCUCCGGGAGCGCCCUGCAGUUUCGCGCAGCCUGCAGAACUCUCCGGAAUCAGACAAGCCUGGCCGUGAACGCUGGCUCUGCGCCUAUCAGAACAGGGCCUUGGGCAAGUCACCCGGUCCCCUGAACCUGCUCCCCACCUAUUGCUCUUCUCAUCGAGACCACAAACCUGAGCUCUCUGGCAGCGCCUGGCAGACAGCAAGCGCUUGGGGAACAGCAGCGAUUCCUAAUAUCAGGCCCAGCUGCGGGGUCUCCCAGGCAGGGGCGGGGGAAGCUAGCAGCCUGUGGCCUUGGAAUAAGGACUGUUGCAUCACGUCCCCUCUCAAGUCUGUUCCUUUCCAGUUCAGCGGGGCCCACUGAACGCUCCCGGGGGCCAGGGACGCCGCUGGCCCGCCAGCACCUAGCUCUCCUGGCCUCUCCUGCCCAGUCCCCAUCUUGUUCCUCCCAGGACCAGCGAGGAGGGAGGGUGUGACCCCGAGGAGCGGGGCGCUGGGAGGCUGUUGCCUGCGUGUGCGUGGCUCUGCGUCUCGGGAGGCUGGGGGGGCAGGCAGAGCAUGAAGGGGACGCGCCAGCACGCAGCGCACGACCACGGCCUCGUUUGUUCUCCCUCGGGUAAAGUCUUAACCAACUGCCUCUAAGAGGGAGAAUCUGGGUGGAGAGCUCCGUGUCCCCGUGCUAAGAGUCUGAUUAAAAGGUAUUAAGACCCCGCACCUGUUCUGAGACAGCCCGGAGCGGCCUCCGCGCCGGCUCUGUAGUGGGACGGUGGCCGCAGGUGGGAGAAAGCCCACUGUCUCUCGCCCCUUCCCUCCGAGGCCGGGUCUCCAGGCAGCUCGGGGAGGCAGAAGGCAGUGAGGGGAGGGGGGGUGGCCCCAAUCAGGAGGAGGCGCUUGGAUGCUGACAGGUUCCCAGGGCCCCCUGGUGGGGGCGGACCAGCACGGUGGUGACAGCUCCACGGUGCACCAGGCGCUGGGCGGGGAACUCCACAUGGAUCCCCACCAGGCCCACGGGACUGGCACGUGGGCGACAUUAUUCCCAGCUGUGGAUGAGGAAACCGCGGAAGACGAAUCACCUCGCCGCCCAAGGUCACACAGCAGUUCAGCGGCCGGGCCAGGAUCUGAACCCAUGCCUGCACACCCCUUACCCCAAGACACGCCUGGGUCCCUCUGUGGCCAACGUGGAAAACCCAAAAGCAGACUAACCCCAAGGAGAGAGCAGUGAAGGCACCAGGGAUCAGGCACUGCCGCUGGCCCCCCCCAGCCCUGGGAGACCCCGAAGAUCCGUAUGGACCAGACUGAGCUGACAGACUCCCCAUGAGCGCCUGGUGAAACCAUUGCAUGAACCCUCCUCAGCCCGCCCGGAGGCGCUGGUUCUGAGCCAGCUCUGGACCGGACCCGAGGCUCUGGGACAACAGGGAGAUGAGGAAAGAGAACCCCCACCUCUGGUGGGCGGCCCUCGGCCCCAGACCUGGGGGCGCACAGCACAGGCAGCCUCGUGCUCCCCCAGCCACACAGCUAAGCGGGCGAGUGUGAGCCUGCGUCCUCCCUCAGUGCUGACGAAUAACCGACUCCUGCUGCAGCCAGCCCCAGGCUUCCUCGUGCAUGAACCACCAGGCGUCUUCUGACGCUGUCACAUGCCGCUGCUUCUGCUCAGAGGCCUUGCCUGGCGCCCCGGCUGCUCAGGGAUGACCUGCCCUGAGCUCGGCCCACUCUGAGCUACAUGAGCCCGCAGCCAGCCUCGCCUGCCCUGCUCCCGUCCUCGGCCACACUCGUCCACGCGGCCUUUGUACUGCCGUGCCUGCCUCCCCGCCAGGCCUCUGCCGUGCCGCCCCAGCCUCCCCUCCAACGAUAGCACGCUCCUCGGGUGUUAAGACCACCCCCGAAACGUCUAGUUCUGAAGGAGGAAUGCACACCGUGACGCUGGCACACACGCGAUCACAACAAUAUGCUGAGGGGACCAUCAAGCCUGCUCCAGAGUCAGAGAACUGAACCGGGCGGUCAGCACCCCUGGGGACAGGAAGCGGCAGACAGAGCUGGACUCCCACCAGAACUGGGAUCUGAAACCCUGCUCCUGCCAACAGUCCUGCGAGGCCUGAUGGCUGUUCUAGAAACGUCUACUGACUCGCAGCCCUCCCAUUUGUCCUCAGAGGAGAGGAGGGUGCGUCCCCAUCAGCCCCCGAGGUCGUGUGCUGCUCAACCCUCCCUGGAGGAAGCGGGAGCCCAGUGCCCUGAGCCCUGUCUUCUCUGCGGUCCCCAUGUGCCCAGGCGCCACCACCAUCAGCACGGCCAUCAUCCUCUCUCCUUGAUCCCCGCACCCCUCUCCCCCAGGGGCCCAGGGUGGCAGCCGCGCCCAUGGGGGAGAUCUCGGAGGACCCUGUUAGAGUGCAGGGGGCCGGCGCUGGGAGCAGCAGAGACACCCGGAGCCUCCUAGAAGCCCUCGCUUCUCUCUCUUCAAAGAGCCAGACCUGCACAUCUAAGGCAGCUCCGUCCCGGCAAACAUGCUCGCUUCCUCCUUUCAAAGGGCGUCUGAGCCCGGGGAUUAGCCCUAAAGCUGCUGGAAUCCUGGGAGGCAGCGCCCGGCAGUCAGGCCCACCGAGGCCUGCCAGCGCUUUCAAAGGGACGCGCAGCUUUCAUCUCCUCCCCGGGCCGGGGCCGGGGCCGGGGCCGGGGCCGGGGAUGCAGGCGAGGCCUCCCCUCCUCCUCCAGCCCUCCAGCCUGGGGUAGGAGAGCUCCCGGCUACAGGAACUGGGGGGAUGGCACCCAGG
rnacentral:lncRNA from 1 species